UACGUAGGGCGCAAGCGUUGUCCGGAAUUAUUGGGCGUAAAGAGCUCGUAGGCGGUUUGUCGCGUCUGCUGUGAAAACCUAAGGCUCAACCUUGGGCUUGCAGUGGGUACGGGCAGACUAGAGUGCGGUAGGGGUGACUGGAAUUCCUGGUGUAGCGGUGAAAUGCGCAGAUAUCAGGAGGAACACCGGUGGCGAAGGCGGCAUCCUGGACCGGUAUUGACGCUGAGGAGCGAAAGCCAGGGGAGCAAACGGG
rnacentral:rRNA from 1 species